rnacentral:lncRNA from 1 species
UGGUUUGUUUUAGUGUUUUAAAGUAUAGUUUUGCAUUCUUUGAGUCUAGUUAGUGUUUUAAACUUUGUUUUUACAUUUUCAAGUCAGUUUCCAAGUGAUUUAGCAAUCCCUCCUAAUCCCCGGCCUAGAACGAUCCCUACUUACAUAAUUUACUACAACUGAUAAAAAGAGGGUUUAAUUUGUGUGUUAACUUAUUUUACGCAUCAAAACCACUUAAAUUAAAAAAUCGUAUGACCAUUGUUUUGAAUAAUAGGCAUUUUAGUGUUCUUUGAAGUACAGCAUUCAUCUAUUUUCUUAACUAAAACAUGUAUUUUUUAAAUUUAUUAUUAAGGGAGAGGUGAUGGUUCGAAACUAUUACAAUAAUUUAGGGAAGAUGAAAGUUUCAAACUCAUAACGUAUGAGUAGAAACUAAACACCCUAUCCACUAAGAUACUGGACUACAUGCACUGCAACAUGUAUUGAAUUUGUCUAAUUUUUGAUAAAAAUAAUCUAAGAAUCUGUCAAGUUAUAAAUAACAUAAAAGGAAAAAAAUAUUGCAGAACUUGGUGGUGGCUUACAACCAGAUGGGUCUUAUGAAAGGAGCAUUUCUGACUCUUUCCCCCUCAAUUAUUUGAACUACCUGGGCUGGCGAUGACCGACCCUUGUAUUGUUGUUAUUACUACUAAUAUACUAUGAUUUAUAAUAGUAUAAUUAUUUGGACUCCUAGCCUCCAGUUGGUGAGGUUGUUUAGGAGAAAGCUACACCAACGGAGAGUUGUAAGAACCAUGAUCUGUCUGUCAAUAUUUUACUGUUGCAUUCGUUUCUAUGCACUCGAUCUAGGAGUUGUUAGGAUUUUUUAUUUUAUUUUUAUAUUUUUUUUUGCAUAAAGCCAAACAUGGUUCGCAUAGUUUUUUGGUUCCUCUGCAUAUAAUUUGGUUUCAUCAGUACAUUUAAGAGAAAAUUUUUAAAACUUUUCUAUCACGUACGUCACUAUGAUAAUAUCAACUAAUUGAACACUUUAGUUAAAUUGAGCGGCAGGAACAAUCCCACGUAAAUAUUUCUCUAUACCAUGAGAUGAGUAUCGUGUAUGAACGUAUGAACGCAAAAACGGUAGCAUACGCAAAAAUAUCUUGGUCUAAGGUCGUAGAUUUAUUGGCCUUAUAUCAAAUGCAUGUUUUGUACGGCAACACCAAUAGCGAAAGGCCUUUCAUUUCCAAAGUAGUUUAUUGAUUUCUUUAAGUGAAAAAAUGGAGUUUAAUAUUUGAUUUAGCGAGGGAAUUUCUUUUGCAGAAUUGAGAAGUAACAUCGGGGUCAAGCUUUUACUAAAUAUAUUUAACCAAUCAAGAGCAGGUAGCAUAAUAACGAUCAAUCUGGAUUUUUUUAAAGUAUUUAAUUUAUUCUUGAAUAGGCUAACUGUUGUCUCGUGCUGCAUCAGAUGAGAGGAGCCAGAUGUAGACAGCCAGCCUACCCGCAAGCGGUACGCGUACUCAGUUUUCUCUGAUUCCAUAGUAACCAUACAGACUACAGAGUCGUUUUACUUACUAAUAUAUUUCAAAUUUUGAAUUCUACGUAUAUUUGUGUAAGAGGAAUGCUAUAUAUACCCGGUGCCUUGUAAGAAAGCGCAAACCGACUAAACCAUAUGAUUCGCCUUCGAGUGUCUGUUUCACCAUAUAUAAUCAAAGUUAUUAAUUUAGUUGGAGUGUUUAGAUUGGCUCCUCCAAAAUAUUUGAGUUUCGAAUAUUUGUCCUUUCGUGCAAAGGCUUUAUACAUUUAGCACUAUCAAAUAAGAAAAGAACUUUAUCUGAUUAAACAUAAAACAAAAAGUGCCAAUUAAACUCACUUAUUUAAAUUCUCCAAUUAUUAUGAGAGUUUUAGAAGUGCUAAGCUUUGACUGUUGGGGUUUGGUAGAUCAAUAUGUGUUCGGCAACUGGGAGCAUAAUGUAAUGGUGCAUGCCACAAACCCUACGAUGUGCUCAACUGUUGAGAUCACCGGAAACCCUAGGAUCUGCUCCUUGACAAUUAUCAUCUCAACCAUUCAAUUUCCCUCGACACACCAUCAUUUAAUCCAAUAUAUGAUUCACUAACACUAUUGUCCAGUAAUAUUUAUGUUCACUUGUAAUUAAAGAGGUCAUAAGUUCGACUCUCAUGAAUAUGAUGAGUUCGUAAUCAGUUAUUAAUUAAUGGUCCAUUGUGUGACUUAACUCAAUCCUUACACUAAAAUCAUUGUAUCAAAAUUUAAAAUGU